rnacentral:rRNA from 1 species
UGGGGAAUAUUGCACAAUGGGGGGAAACCCGUGAUGCAGCGACGCCGCGUGAGCGAAGAAGUACUUCGUAUGUAAAGCUCUGUCAGCAGGGAAGAUAAUGACGGUACCUGACCAAGAAGCCCGGCUAACUACGUGCC